rnacentral:snRNA from 1 species
GUGCUCACUUCGGCAGCACAGACACUAAAAUUGGAACAAUACAGAGAUGAUUAGCAUGGCCCCUGCAUAAGGAAUACACGCAAAUUCGUGAAGUGUUUCAUAUUUUU